AACGAACGCUGGCGGCAGGCCUAACACAUGCAAGUCGAGCGCGCCCUUCGGGGUGAGCGGCGGACGGGUGAGUAACGCGUGGGAACGUGCCCUUUUCUACGGAAUAGCCUCGGGAAACUGAGAGUAAUACCGUAUACGCCCUUUGGGGGAAAGAUUUAUCGGAAAAGGAUCGGCCCGCGUUGGAUUAGGUAGUUGGUGGGGUAAUGGCCUACCAAGCCGACGAUCCAUAGCUGGUUUGAGAGGAUGAUCAGCCACACUGGGACUGAGACACGGCCCAGACUCCUACGGGAGGCAGCAGUGGGGAAUCUUAGACAAUGGGGGCAACCCUGAUCUAGCCAUGCCGCGUGAGUGAUGAAGGCCUUAGGGUUGUAAAGCUCUUUCAGCUGGGAAGAUAAUGACGGUACCAGCAGAAGAAACCCCGGCUAACUCCGU
rnacentral:rRNA from 1 species